GGCCCACUGAAAAGGUAGGUCUCUGUGGGCAUAACUUUUGACUACCGCCCAAUGUCUACAGUCCAAAAGAAUUAUGAAGAUAAAGUCAGCACAUCCAGCUGAGGUGUUCUCAGGCCUACUCACAGAGUCGGGUCAGGUCUUGAAGACAUUCAGCUGGAAGAUGUGUAAGGGAGGAAUGGUGAUGCCAGGGAGGCUGAAGACAGUUGUAACCAAGAAAUGAGGACACUGCCCAGUGAACACACCCUCCAACUUGCUGAACAGAUUAUUAUUGUCUUCUGAGUAAUAAAUAUUGAAAUAAACCAGAUACCAGUGUUGGUAGCCUAAAACA